rnacentral:lncRNA from 1 species
GUAUAUGUAGCCUAUGUGUCACAUCUCGGAUUGCGGCCGGAUUGAACCACCACUAGAAGGUUGCUAAAUAUAGUAUAUUGGCUGAAGCUUACGUGUCACAUGUUGAGUUGCAACUUAGCUGAAACACCACUGAGUGAAGUUGUAUAUGAGAAACAAUAUCAUCAAUUCCAUAGAAUGUUUAAUUUUAAAUACAUGUAGGUUUUUGUUUGAUGUGGGAGGAAAAUCUAAAUAAUUUAACUUGUGCCUUAAUAGUUUGAUACAGGAUUAGGUAGAACUAUAAAUCUUGAGUGUGAGAUUCUUAAAUUGAAUGUCAACUUGAACUUAAUAUAUGAAUGGGAGCCUAAUUGUCUGGUGGUUGGGUUUAGAUGGAUAACCAAUAGUUGCGGCUAGUUUUUUUUGAACGGUAGGAUUUUAUGAUUAUAGAAUAGUUGUGGUUAGUGUAUGAGUAUAUCUUCAAUGAAAUAACCUAAUGUUUUUGAAAGCCAUAUAUUUUGAUUGUGAUUCCAUUGCAGCUUUUUCAGGGACGAAAAUCGUUGAAGUGUGGGGAGAUUUGAUGUGUUGCUAAAUACCGUCAUGUUAUUUAUCUAUAUCCAUGUGCAAAAUGGAGCAAAAACGAGCUAAAACGGUAACCAAACGAGCAACCGGGAGAAAGGAUAGAAGUGCAGCGCCCUAAACUAUAAUUUCUGAAGAAAUGUAGGGGUACCGCGUCAUGAGAAAGGAUCCUAGGGUGUGUUGCACAUCGCCUAGGGUUACAAGAACACGUGAAAUACCCUUAAUGAAAUAAGGGUAUUUAUCCUUGUGUCGUCGCUUCAGUUCUUUAUCUUUCUAUGCCAUAAGAAUAUCGCGAGGUCGGGUUCCAUUUGGAUCGCGAUACGCGAGACGUGUAUUAAACAAAAAAAAACGUAUUUGAGUUGGAUUUAUGUCACACCCCGAUAUUUCCACAUGUUACCGGUGGGCCCGGCUGGGAGUAUCGUGACGUAGUUGAUAUCAUCAUAGUCAAAUAUACAAAGUUUAUAGCACAGCGGAAGUCUUGAUAGAAAUUACUAUUAUAAACCGAAAGUGUAAAGUACGAAUAAA